UGGUGGUUAUAGAGCCGGGGAAACACCCGAACCCAUUCCGAACUCGGAAGUUAAGCCCGACGUCGCCGAUGGUACUAAGAUUCUUGGGAGAGUAGGUUGCUGCCA
rnacentral:rRNA from 1 species